rnacentral:rRNA from 1 species
UACGUAGGGGGCGAGCGUUGUCCGGAAUCAUUGGGCGUAAAGCGCGUGUAGGCGGCUCGGUAAGUCUGCUGUGAAAGUCCAGGGCUCAACCCUGGGAUGCCGGUGGAUACUGUCGAGCUCGAGUCCGGAAGAGGAGAGUGGAAUUCCUGGUGUAGCGGUGAAAUGCGCAGAUAUCAGGAAGAACACCCGUGGCGAAGGCGGCUCUCUGGGACGGUACUGACGCUGAGACGCGAAAGCGUGGGGAGCGAACAGG